UAUCGGUCAGCUGUCCUUUUAAAUUGCCUCUGGUGGGAUUCGUCUGCAAAUCCUACUUAUUUUGAACAGUCAGCGCGAGGUCUUCCCUAUUUUAGUGAAGUAUUACAGGCCUGGGACUAUUUUCACUGCUCUUGCCUAACCUCUCUUCAAUAUCAUGAUGGCGAGCACAGCAGCUGGAGAUUGCAGUGGCCGUGACAUGAGUUAUGUUGAGACAAUACACAAUUUUUUUUGUCAUGAUCAUAGAGCAUGUGAUUUUUUUCACAAUCACGGCACUUUGUGGAAGACUGUGUAUUGGCCUCACAGCAAGAAGCCAUGCCAACUCUGGGAGGACCAAGAGACAUGGUUUUGCACAAGUUUGACAGGAACAAGAGAGACCAAGAAUUGCUCUUUCAGGCCUUUUUAACUCCAACAUCCCAUCAUGGAAGCUGAUCUUAAGGUCUUCAAAUAAGAUUUACAGUAUCAGUGAACUGGUACAAUUUCUCCUCAGAUGUGUUGGAAAUUUGGCAUGUGAAGCAGAAUCUACCAGAUGUACUCUCCGCCACUUCUUCAUUCAGCUUGCCCAGCUUUAUUUGCUGCAACAAGAGGAGAAUGCCAUCUUCAUGCUCUGAUCCCAGCUGAGCUUGAGGGAAAUCCAGAUGAAAUAAUAGAAUACUGUCCACCUCCAAGCAGAGAUGUGUAGUGCCAGAUGGUCAUCUAAUUGUCGCACACAUUGCAGUUAACAGGCUCAGAUGACCUGCAUCAAGGGCAGCAGAAUACAACAAUCAGACUUUAGAUCAUUGGCCUUGGACUGUGCUGGGGGCUGGGGACAUGCACAACCUUCUGAGGCUAAAGAUGUCCUUAACAGGGAAUAAGUGGAGUAUCUGCCCCGGCUGGACCAAAGAAACUUGCAGAAUUUUAUGGUGUCUAAGAGAUUACAAACUUUGGCAACAUGCAUCCCAA